rnacentral:rRNA from 1 species
AGCGAACGCUGGCGGCAUGCUUAACACAUGCAAGUCGCACGAUCCUUUCGGGGAUAGUGGCGGACGGGUGAGUAACGCGUAGGGAUUUAUCGUUGGGUGGGGGAUAACCUUGGGAAACUGGGGCUAAUACCGCAUGACGCCUGAGGGCCAAAGCUUUUGGCGCCUGACGAGGAGCCUGCGUCCGAUUAGGUAGUUGGUUGGGUAAUGGCUGACCAAGCCUGCGAUCUGUAUCCGACCUGAGGGGGUGGUCGGACACACUGACACUGAAUAACGGGUC